CUCCUCCACCAAGAACUUCGUCUUCAGCCAGCAUCGCCUCACUCAAAAGAGUCGUAUAUGAUAUCCGAUGAGCGGCGCUGCCAGGAAAGCCAUUGAGCUGAGCAGUGAGGUAUGUGGCCGCGACAGUCCGCUCUCCACAGUGGAAGGCCCGACUUCAAAGCCUCUCUUCAUCCCUCGACCAACUGUGGUCGGGCAGCCAAAGUGUCAGUGGGUGUUGGUGUUAUUGAUUGGAGUGGAUGUGACCUCUGAAGGAUCUUCCUCCAGUCAAGCAGAGUGGAGUUAAUCCUGAGCGACAGGAUCCAACAUUCUGCCCUCCACGUCAUUCUUCCUCUCACCAUCCUUUCAACAUGUUGGUCACACAUGCAAAACGAACAGAUACACCUGCUGACGCGCAUGUUCUUACACACCUUUAAGCAAAACAGAAGCGCUGUAAUCAUGAAUCACUGCUCGCAAGUGUCUUUAAAUCAGUUAGUAACUCCGCUCUCAGCACCGUUUGAAAUGAAACUUUUAAUUAUUCAUAGCUGCUGAAUGUGUGGAGCAGUCUUCUGUGGCUGAGAAGCUACCCAGAGCAGAGAUAUCAAUGUCGGAGCGGAGGAUUAAAUAUUAAAUAUCAGCUAUUAGCUCCAGACUGAAAUUCUCAGCAGCGCUUCCUCUUCUGGCAUAAAAAGCUCACUCAUCUGCGCUGUCAGAUGAAAGCUUCGCGUCUCUGAAAACUGUUACACAUGGUAUCCAAAAAGUCAGUGUCUCUGGCAGUAAGGAAAACAGCCUCAUCUUUGGAUUGAAGGCAGUGCAUUUCUGCAUUUGUACCGACUGUAUUCAGGUGAAACAAAAGAGGGCACAGAGAGUGUCCAGUCACCGCUCUAUUUUUACCUCAGUGGCGGCAUCAGAGCUGUGAGAGGGCGAGACAUCGGACAUGUGAGGGUCGGACAUAUAAUGGCAGUCAGUGUGCAGGGGUAAAACGAGUGUUGCUAAAUGUGUUCAAAAUCUCAAGUAUUCCUCCUUUAUUUGCUCUGAGUAUUGGCCUGGAUUCUUAAUGUUACUUGGAACCAAUUUAACAUCCCAUAAUAAGAAUCAGACGCAGGUGCAGCUUUUCUCUGACUGAAUAUGAAAAAAGAAACAUUGGAUACAAAAAAGGGACAUCAGUUACUUAAGUUGCUGAACACGAAUGAGACACAAAAAAUUAUAUUGUGCUGUAAUAUUGAGGUUCACAGUUCAUUCGUGAUCCUGUAAACCACUGCAAGGAUACAACAACAUGAUCAUCACAAUAUACUAGCUACAGCCGUGUUAUACACCUGAUGUUCAGUUAGGUUUCUGCAAGAGAGCUAUACGGUCGGGUCAAGGCAUCAAAACUACUUCGUUAGGUUUAGGAAAACAUCCUUGUUUGGGUUGAAAUAACUGUCACUGAUAUAACUUCAGUUACCAACGUACAUACAUUAAUAUAAGUGGCUGCAAUUAUGUAUUGUAUGUAUUCACUAUAUUAAUAGACAAACAAACAGUUGUCUCCUGGGUGAAAACUCUGUGCUUGUUUACCCAACCACACAGUACAUCCCUACACUAGUUGAGGUCACUGCCUAACAAGAAAUGUCAAUAUGGGUCAUUAUCAGCUGCUUUCAUGGUUGACUUUUUGUUUUUUUUUUUCCAAUGAGGAUGUCCUUUGAUUGGACCAUGUGAAGAGAUUGUUUUCACACCCUCUGUAAUAUAGUUUUCAUUUUUAGGGUUUGGAAAUUAACGAGUAUUGUUGUCUUUAAAUUCAACGUUGGUCUACAAGUCUACACAGGCUAAACAUUGAGCACACAGACCAACACAUCUUCCUGAAUUUCUUUGGUCAGGUAGCAAUAACUAAUUUCAAAUAAUAAUGAUUUUUUUUUUUUUUAAAAAGUGUGUAAGUUACAUUGUCAUAAUAAACUCAACAGGGGCCGACAGCUCAUUGUGCCUCUGGGUUAUUGCUUUAAUCUCUGUCUAGACAAUCCAAAUGGGGGCGAUCUCUAAUGACUCAAGCCUUUUAAAUUCCUCUCUUGCAGAUAAGAGCUAUUACGAGAGCAGGUAAUCACUGACUCUGUGAAUGAGCUGUAAAAGCAUCAAGUUUUUCACAGCCCUCAAACCAGCUGAGCUUCCCAAGAAAGUGCAGCCAUCGGUGGUCUAGUUGUAGAUUCUCAUGGUGGUAUCAGUGUAUGUCACCUGAUUAACAGUUAUUUCUAGCCCAGAACCCCCUCCAUGGCCUGUCCCUCUUGAAGCAGACAAGAGAGACAGGCCAUGUCAGUCAAUAAGCAACUAAACAAGUAACCAAGAGCUCUCAUUUAAUACCCCUUUCAAAUUAAAACUCCAAUAUAGUGCAGGUUUCAGGAAACUUAUUAUCCACUAAAUGGGGAACAGGGUACAUUAGGACUAAAAGCCUGUCUGGAUUAAAAGCAUUGUUCUCUCUGCUGUUGAGGAGACUAAUUAAGUUCACUUUUUUAAACACGCAGUAUGUAAUUUCUUCUGCUCAAGGUGUCAAUCGAAACAAAACAAAAGCUGUGACUAGCAUGGAAUCAUAGAAUUAUUUGUUCGUGUUGUCAACAUUGCUGAUAAAAAUCCAUCUGACGUGACUCUGGACGAGAUGUGUUCUUUGGGAUGUGUUUGGGAUGUCAUUCACCAACUUCCUUCAUCACUCCUGAGUCUCUCCUGGAAGUUAAUGUGACAGGCGACUGAAUGACACACACUGCUAAAUUGAGUAAAAUUACAGACCGAGGUCGAACAUUUCUGGAAACAUUUGGGAUAGUGUAAGUAUUCACUGACUCAGUCACGCUCGUUGUCUCCAUUUUAGUUUGUAGACAUGAGUUAAGACUUCUGAAUGUUUUGGGUUGGGAAAAAGUUUGUUUUUAUGAUUUA